UACAGUGCAGUUACAAAGAAAAUGUUGCUUCUUCUCUGUACAGAGAAACCAAUUUCUAGCUAAAAGUGAGGCAAAAGAUAAAUGUUGAGUAUUUAAAGAUUAAUGUUUACUAGAAGUUAAAAGAUUGCUGUGUCUUGUGAUAGUGGGUGUUAACAGGUCCUAAUUAAAGACUGAGGGAUUGUAAAGUUUUGCCUACAUGAAUUGAAUGAUUUCUGGAAGGAGGUUGGGUUUGUGACACCCUGUAAUGAUCCUCAACUGACGUAUGAUAUCAGGUUCCUUCAGCUCUCCAGUUGCUGACACCACCUGCCAC
rnacentral:lncRNA from 1 species